rfam:Schistosoma curassoni strain Dakar, Senegal genome assembly, scaffold: SCTD_scaffold0000136
GCACUGCUGAAGAGUCCCAUACUAAGACGAAACGGCCGUCCAGUGC